rnacentral:rRNA from 1 species
UGGGGAAUUUUUGACAAUGGGGGAAACCCUGAUCCAGCCAUCCCGCGUGUGCGAUGAAGGCCUUCGGGUUGUAAAGCACUUUUGGCAGGAAAGAAACGUCAUGGGUUAAUACCCCGUGAAACUGACGGUACCUGCAGAAUAAGCACCGGCUAACUACGUGCCAGCAGCCGCGGUAAUACGUAGGGUGCAAGCGUUAAUCGGAAUUACUGGGCGUAAAGCGUGCGCAGGCGGUUCGGAAAGAAAGAUGUGAAAUCCCAGAGCUCAACUUUGGAACUGCAUUUUUAACUACCGGGCUAAAGUGUGUCAGAGGGAGGUGGAAUUCCGCGUGUAGCAGUGAAAUGCGUAGAUAUGCGGAGGAACACCGAUGGCGAAGGCAGCCUCCUGGGAUAACACUGACGCUCAUGCACGAAAGCGUGGGGAGCAAACAGG